GAUGAAGAACGUAGCGAAAUGCGAUAAGUAAUGUGAAUUGCAGAAUUCAGUGAAUCAUCGAGUCUUUGAACGCGCAUUGCGCCCCCUGGUAUUCCGGGGGGCAUGCCUGUCCGAGCGUCAUUGCUGCCCUCAAGCACGGCUUGUGAGUUGGGCCCCCGUCCCCGGUUUCCCCCGGGGACGGGCCCGAAAGGCAGCGGCGGCACCGCGUCCGGUCCUCGAGCGUAUGGGGCUUUGUCACCCGCUCUGUAGGCCCGGCCGGCGCCAGCCGACACCCAACUUUAUUUCUAAGGUUGACCUCGGAUCAGGUAGGGAUACCCGCUGAACUUAAGCAUAUCAAUAAGCGGAGGA
rnacentral:misc_RNA from 1 species